UAACCGUAAGUGAACCUGCGGAAGGAUCAUUACCGAAUUUGAUUAUCUUCUUUCUGUGAAUUUAAUAAUGACUUGCUUCGGCGGGUGUUAUGGUUGAUUGAUGACUUCUUUUUGAGUUGUCUCUUUUCUCCUUACCCGCCGAAAGGUUAAACUCAACAAAUUAUUUUUUGUCUAAACAAAUAAAACUAAUAGAUCAAAACUUUCAGCAACGGAUCUCUUGGUUCUC
rnacentral:misc_RNA from 1 species